rnacentral:rRNA from 1 species
GACGAACGCUGGCGGCGUGCUUAACACAUGCAAGUCGAACGAAGUGGCGAACGGGUGAGUAAUGCGUAAUCAACCUGCUCUUCAGAGGGGGACAACAGUUGGAAACGUAUGCUAAUACCGCAUACUGAAGGAGGGGAUUGCGUCUGAUUAGCUAGUUGGAGGGGUAACGGCCCACCAAGGCGAGAAUAAUUAGCCGGUCUGAGAGGAUGAACGGCCACAAUGGGACAUAGACACGGCCCAGACUCCUACGGGAGGCAGCAGGGGGGAAUCUUCCGCAAUGGACGAAAGUCUGACGGAGCAACGCCGCGUGAGUGAUACCGGCCUUCGGGUUGUAAAACUCUGUUAUUCGGGACGCGGUACCGGAAUAGAAAGCCACGGCUAACUCCGUGCCAGCAGCCGCGGUAAUA